AUUGAACGCUGGCGGCAUGCCUUACACAUGCAAGUCGAACGGCAGCAUGAUCUAGCUUGCUAGAUUGAUGGCGAGUGGCGAACGGGUCAGUAAUACAUCGGAACGUGCCCUGUAGUGGGGGAUAACUAGUCGAAAGAUUAGCUAAUACCGCAUACGACCUGAGGGUGAAAGUGGGGGACCGCAAGGCCUCAUGCUAUAGGAGCGGCCGAUGUCUGAUUAGCUAGUUGGUGAGGUAAAGGCUCACCAAGGCGACGAUCAGUAGCUGGUCUGAGAGGACGAUCAGCCACACUGGGACUGAGACACGGCCCAGACUCCUACGGGAGGCAGCAGUGGGGAAUUUUGGACAAUGGGCGAAAGCCUGAUCCAGCAAUGCCGCGUGUGUGAAGAAGGCCUUCGGGUUGUAAAGCACUUUUGUCCGGAAAGAAAUGGCUCUGGUUAAUACCUGGGGUCGAUGACGGUACCGGAAGAAUAAGGACCGGCUAACUACGUG
rnacentral:rRNA from 1 species